rnacentral:rRNA from 1 species
UUGGGAGUGGCGGCNUGCUAUACAUGCAGUAGAACGCUGAAGAGAGGAGCUUGCUCUUCUUGGAUGAGUUGCGAACGGGUGAGUAACGCGUAGGUAACCUGCCUUGUAGCGGGGGAUAACUAUUGGAAACGAUAGCUAAUACCGCAUAACAAUGGAUGACACAUGUCAUUUAUUUGAAAGGGGCAAUUGCUCCACUACAAGAUGGACCUGCGUUGUAUUAGCUAGUAGGUGAGGUAAUGGCUCACCUAGGCGACGAUACAUAGCCGACCUGAGAGGGUGAUCGGCCACACUGGGACUGAGACACGGCCCAGACUCCUACGGGAGGCAGCAGUAGGGAAUCUUCGGCAAUGGGGGCAACCCUGACCGAGCAACGCCGCGUGAGUGAAGAAGGUUUUCGGAUCGUAAAGCUCUGUUGUAAGUCAAGAACGGGUGUGAGAGUGGAAAGUUCACACUGUGACGGUAGCUUACCAGAAAGGGACGGCUAACUACGUGCCAGCAGCCGCGGUAAUACGUAGGUCCCGAGCGUUGUCCGGAUUUAUUGGGCGUAAAGCGAGCGCAGGCGGUUUGAUAAGUCUGAAGUUAAAGGCUGUGGCUCAACCAUAGUUCGCUUUGGAAACUGUCAAACUUGAGUGCAGAAGGGGAGAGUGGAAUUCCAUGUGUAGCGGUGAAAUGCGUAGAUAUAUGGAGGAACACCGGUGGCGAAAGCGGCUCUCUGGUCUGUAACUGACGCUGAGGCUCGAAAGCGUGGGGAGCGAACAGGAUUAGAUACCCUGGUAGUCCACGCCGUAAACGAUGAGUGCUAGGUGUUGGAUCCUUUCCGGGAUUCAGUGCCGCAGCUAACGCAUUAAGCACUCCGCCUGGGGAGUACGACCGCAAGGUUGAAACUCAAAGGAAUUGACGGGGGCCCGCACAAGCGGUGGAGCAUGUGGUUUAAUUCGAAGCAACGCGAAGAACCUUACCAGGUCUUGACAUCCCGAUGCUAUUUCUAGAGAUAGAAAGUUACUUCGGUACAUCGGUGACAGGUGGUGCAUGGUUGUCGUCAGCUCGUGUCGUGAGAUGUUGGGUUAAGUCCCGCAACGAGCGCAACCCCUAUUGUUAGUUGCCAUCAUUCAGUUGGGCACUCUAGCGAGACUGCCGGUAAUAAACCGGAGGAAGGUGGGGAUGACGUCAAAUCAUCAUGCCCCUUAUGACCUGGGCUACACACGUGCUACAAUGGUUGGUACAACGAGUUGCGAGUCGGUGACGGCGAGCUAAUCUCUUAAAGCCAAUCUCAGUUCGGAUUGUAGGCUGCAACUCGCCUACAUGAAGUCGGAAUCGCUAGUAAUCGCGGAUCAGCACGCCGCGGUGAAUACGUUCCCGGGCCUUGUACACACCGCCCGUCACACCACGAGAGUUUGUAACACCCGAAGUCGGUGAGGUAACCUUUGGAGCCAGCCGCCUAAGGUGACAGAUACGUAGGG